rnacentral:lncRNA from 1 species
AUCGACUGUUUGAAAUUACACGGUAUUCAUUUGUUGCUAUUGUAAUGUCUGUCGUCUUCUAUUUCCCCUUCCCCAGCCCAAUGCCGAAACUCCCACACUCCGAUCCUCUUCUUUUCUUUUUAUUAAUCUUGGGAGAUAACUUCCUUAUUUUUAGCAGGCUGACACCACUAGGAGGACUAUGAUAGUGAGGAUCAUAAUAAGGACUUGCACACUUUCAGCUGGGGCUCAGUCACCACCCAUUGGAGUUUUCAACUAAGCCUCGGAGCCUUUGUCUCUGCCAGCAAAGAAAUGGCUGGCAAACGCCCCCACGGCUCCUGAGCUGCCUGGCUACUCUCAGCUCCCCAGUGUGAUUCUGCUAGACUGGAUGAUACUGAAAACCCGUCACCAGUCGUGCAGGCUGCUCUCCUAGAGCUCAGGAACAAGCUGAAGUCACAGGCCGUCACUUGGACUGAUGAACUGUGGAAACAAGUGGGAUCCAGCAUGCACUCAAUCAAGGUGGCUCCAUCGUCAUUAUGGCCAUCCACAACGUCACCAUCAUCAGUUUGCUGUGUAGGAAGAGACAGUCGCCUUUCAGGCAGUGAUUCUAAGCAUGAAGAGUCUGGGGAAGCACAUCGACGUGAAAGGGAACGAGCAGGAAGUGCAUUUCUCCAUGGGGCCUGGGAGUCAGUGCUGACGCCCAGCCUGAAACGCACAGUCGCUUGCAGUUGUGGUGGAGGAGGAAGCCAUGGAUGCCAUCAAUGACGUGUGGCCAGGUCUGGAAACGAGGCAUCAGAGAAGCAGAAGGACGGGGACGUGAGAUCUGAUGCUGGAGUGCCGAGAGCCACACCUGUGUCUCCCGUUUCUGCUCCUAGAGAAUCUGAAGGCUGACAGGAACAGGAAAAUGGGAGCCCGCGAUGGGAAUCUGUGUCUCCACAGGAAGACGGUGCAGCCGAAGAAGGAACAGACCCCGGUUCCUGUGUCUGUUCCCACCAAGGCUGGUCAGCCUUCUGCACAGGAAGAUCAUGGUGCUAUUUAUCCCGCAGGCACCCAACAAAGAGGAGACCCGAGAACUCUGCAGGGCCCCCACAGCCUCACCUUACAGGAUACGCACCCUGAGAGAGCCACCCAGCCAGGCUGUUGGUGGCAGGCGUCCAGCCAGCCUCAGAGGCUCCUGUUGGGACCUGACGUGAGGGCCUGCCACCACCAGGAGAAGCUAGAAGACAAAAAGGAGGGUGGCAGGGAGUGGCCAGUGUCCCGGGAACCAGGAAUUGGUCCUCGGGUCCACAAAAGCAAAG